rnacentral:lncRNA from 1 species
GCUUCAAGGUUUCACAUUCACUUAGGGUUCUAGACUCACAAUGAAGGGCUACCAAUUUUAGGUCUACCGAUUCAAGUCAUAAUCUAAAAUACCUCAUUAGUCAUUUAUAGAAAGGCUACCAAUAUUAGGUCUACCAAUUUAAGACAUUAACACAUUCACUAGUCAAUUAUGAAAGGGCUACCAACAUUAGGUCUACCAAUUUAAGACAUUAACACAUUCACUAGUCAAUUAUGAAAGGGCUACCAACAUUAGGUCUACCAAUUCCUGAUCAUUAAGACAUUAAGUCAAGAUACAUUCAUUAUUCGUAAAGAGGAUGCCUAAGCCUACCAAUUCUAAAUUCAACAUUCACAUUAUAGAAACCCUUCACAUUCAUCAUUAUCAUUCAUGAGUGUCAUAUUGAGAAAUAGCCUUUCAAUACUAACACAAAUACAUUGAGUACAUGUUCAUUAUUCUAUCAUUGAGUCACAUGUAAAUCCUUCACAUUAUACACUCACAUAUACAAUAACAUUAUAAUGAUCACAAUGUACAUAGUAAGUAAACACCUCCACAUUUCAAGUGGAUAAACAAUUCAAGCUCAAUUCUACAUUAACAUGAAAUUAGGUCAAACUUUCCCUUUCAAGGCUAUGAUCACAAAUCCUCAAUUCACCAACAAUUCACCAUAAGUAGACAUAGAUAUUGAUACAACUAAAUAAUCUAAAUCAAUCUACACAUAAAUCCAUCAUCAUUCAAUCAUAAUCAACAAACCCACUUUAUAAGUCACAAUUUAGGAAUUGAGAGGAAUCAUGGGUUCAAGGAGAAAAA